AAGAUCUACAAAUAAGUCAACAUGACCUAAAUGGUCAAUUGACCCCUUAAGGAGUUAUUGCCCUUUAUAGUCAAUUUUUAACAAUUUUCAUUAAUUUGGUAAAUUUAUGUAAAUUUUUACCAAAUAUAGUUCUCUGUUACUAAAUGGGCAAAGUUCAUAAUAGAUAUAAUUGUUAAGAAGCAAAUCGUUCAGUAAAGUAAGAACUUCAAACACAUCACCAUCACCAAAAUACAAUUUUGUCAUGAAUCCAUUUGUGUCCUUUGUUUAAUAUGCACAUAGACCAAGGUGAGCGACACAGGCUCUUUAGAGCCUCUAGUUUCUUCUUUAUGUUGUUAUUAUUGAUACAUAAAAAGUAAAACUACAAAAAUACUGAACUCCGAGGAAAAUUCAUAACGGAAAGUCCUUCAUCAAAUGGCAAAAUCAAAAACUAAAACACAUCAAACGACUGGACAAAAAACUGCCAUAUGUCUGACUUGGUGCAGACAGUUUCUUGUGUAGGUAGCUUUACGUCCUAAUACCAUUACUCAGGUGAUGACGUUUUUGCUUUGCUUUUAUAUUGAAUAUUACUUUGUUGUUAAGUAUUUGUAAUAAUUACUAUUGUAUUGUAUCGGAUAAUAUUUUUUUUAUUUUGUGCAAGUUUGGUUUUAUGCUUUGGGUUACCAAGUUAACACGAUUGCCGUUAUUGUAGUUGUUAACUUAAACAGUCUAGUCCCACAUCUGUUUGUCAAUUAACUAGUGAGGUAAAAGUCACGUAGAUUAAUGGUAAAUCUAUAGCUCACAUACAUUGAAAUGACAAAGACUGAGUGUUAUCUAAAGCUACUUAUUAACUUUCUCUAUUACUUCAAAUAGGUUUCCAGUUUUCCGAAAGUAUCAAAUGACGUCAACCAAAAAUAUACAUAUUUUAAGGUUAUCUCAGUCGUCAAGAUUAAACCUGUUAUAUGUACCUUAUAUGUCAUACAAAUCGAUUGCAUGUAUAUUGUAAACGUGAUCACUUAGAACAUUUUGUAAAUGUGCAUCAUUGUCAUUAAAGGUAAGAAAUAAGGUUUAUUUUAUUCAUUUUUAUUAAUUUUACGAAUGUUGUUAUCUACUUUUGAUCAGAAGACAUUUUCUCGCUGUCAAGUGACAUCUAAGAUGUAGUAAAUAUUUUGUCAAAAUUUCAUGAAAAUUAAACGAGCCAAUUUAGAAUUAGUCAAGAUUUUUAGUACUACCCUGGGUAUAUAUUUAAAAUGUUUGUAUUCGAAAGCGGAACCAAUGUCGUGUAUGACAUGUUUCUUCUACACACACUGAUAACCAUGCAAAUACAUGCAUAGUUUGAACUCAAUAUAGAUAUUGAAGAGGUUUUGUAUUAUAACCCCCUGUUGUGAAUAUAACAAACCAAAAUAAAAGAAAUAUACUGAAAUUCACUAUAUGCGUCGAGGUUAUAACAAAACAAUGAACAGAAAAUAAAAUUGGUUAAUAUGAAAAAUUCUCUCAACAAUUUCUCUUUUGUGUACAUGCAAUUAAUUUGUGAAUAAACUCAUUAUAUAUACCAGGAUUGAGUUUUAAUAUUUACACCAGACGCGCGUUUCGUCUACCAAAGACUCAUCAGUGACGCUCGAAUUAAAAAAAAUGUUAAAAAGGCAAAAUAAAGUACGAAGUAAAAGAGCAUUGAGGACCAACAAAGUGAGCGACAGAAAAUGGCCGUUGUUAUGCUGAGCACAAACUAUAAAUAGCACAAAUGAGCUAUGUCACUUUCGUGUAUGAGUCUAAAUAGUAAAGAAGGCACUGAAAAUAACGAAAAGCUUUUUAGCUCACCUGGCCCAGAGGGCCAAGUGAGCUUUUCUCAUCGCUUGGCGUCCGUCGUCCUCCUCUCGUCCGUCGUUAACUUUUACAAAAUUUUUCUCCUCUUAAAAGAAGGACGAAAGAUACCAGAGGGAUAGUCAAACUCAUAAAUCGAAAACAAACUGACAACGCCAUGGCUAAAAAUGAAAAAGACAAAUAGACAAACAAUAGUACGCAUUACACAACAUAUAAAACUAAAUAAUAAACAACACGAACCCCACCAAAAACUAGGGGUGAUCUCAGGUGCUCUGUGAGGGUUAGCAGAUCCUGCUCCACAUGUCGCACCCAUCGUGUUGCUUAUGUGAUAACAAAUCCGGUAAAUAGUCUAAUUCUGUAGGUCACAUUCAUGAAAGGGAAGGGGAUUGUAGUUACGACGGAAAGAACAUAUCCGAUAUCAUUUGUGAAACGGUUAUUCCAUAACGGUCAACCAAGUCGUGAUGGCGUCCGUAAAAUUAACGAAGUGAUGAUUUCAACUUUACCAUUUGGUGAACUCUUGAUUUAAUAGCUUCCUUGUGAGCAACAACCCUCUAUCAAGAAAAUCAUGAUAGGAAAAGCAAGCACGGGAAUAUCGUAUCAGUUUGGAGAUAUAUACUACCGUAUGCAGGUGCUGCUGGAAUGUUGCUACUUAGAAAUGGAAAGUUCACAAUUGGAAAGCUGAAAUCAUCUCUUUUGUCGUAAAAAUUUGUUUUCAACCGACCCUCAUUGUCAAUUUCUAGAUGUAAGUCAAGGUAUGAGGACGACUUAACUGUAUCUGUUACUUGUAUCCUUUAUAUCUAAUUCAAUGGGAUAGAUGCCAUCUAUCCCCUUGAACAAGAGAUAAACUACUGGACUGAAUUUGACCAAACUUUGCCACAAUCGUUAUAGGGGUAUCUAGAUUGAAAAAUGUGUUCGAUGACCCAGCCAACCAACCAAGAUGGCCGCCAUGGCUAAACAUAGAAUAUAGGGGUAACAUGUAAAUGUUUCAGAUGAAGCAGACAACCCAUUCUUGGGUUGCUGCCCCUGAAUUGGUAAUUUUAAGGAAAUUUGGCUUUUUUUAGUUAUUAUCUUGAAUGUUUUAGCUCACCUGGCCCGAAGGGCCAAGUGAGCUUUUCUCAUCACUUGGCGUCCGUCGUCGUCCGUCGUCGUCGUCGUUAACUUUUACAAAAAUCUUCUCCUCUGAAACUACUGGCCAAAUUUAAUAAACUUGGCCACAAUUAUUUGGGGUUCUAGUUUAAAAAAUGUGUCCAGUGACCCAGCUAACAACCAAGAUGGCCGCCAUGCUAAAUAAACAUAGGGUAAAAUGCAGUUUUUGGCUUAUAACUUAAAAACUCAAGCAUUUAAAGCAAAUCUGACAUGGGGGUAAAAUUAUUUAUCAGGUCAAGAUAUAUCUGCCCUGAAAUUUGCAGAUGAAUCGGACAACCCGUUGUUAGGUUGCUGCCCCUGAAUUGUUAAUUUUAAGGAAAUUUUGCUGUUUUUGUCGAGCCUUCGACUUUAGUCGAAAAAGCGAGACUAAGCGAUUCUACAUUCCGUCGUCGUCGGUGUCGUCGUCGUCGUCGUCGGCGGCGUACACAAAUAUUCACUCUGUGGUUAAAGUUUUUGAAAUUUUAAUAACUUUCUUAAACUAUACUGGAUUUCUACCAAACUUGGACAGAAGCUUGUUUAUGAUCAUAAGAUAGUAUCCAGAAGUAAAUUUUGUAAAAAUAAAAUUCCAUUUUUUCCGUAUUUUACUUUUAAAUGGACUUAGUUUUUCUGCGGGGAAACAUUACAUUCACUCUGUGGUUAAAGUUUUUGAAAUUUUAAUAACUUUCUUAAACUAUACUGGAUUUCUACCAAACUUGGACAGAAGCUUGUUUAUGAUCAUAAGAUAGUAUCCAGAAGUAAAUUUUGUAAAAAUAAAAUUCCAUUUUUUCCUGAUUUACUUAUAAAUGGACUUAGUUUUUCUGCGGGGAAACAUUACAUUCACUCUGUGGUUAAAGUUUUGAAAUUUUAAAUACUUCUUAAACUAUACUGGAUUUCUACCAAACUUGGACAGAAGCUUGUUUAUGAUCAUAAGAUAGUAUCCAGAAGUAAAUUUUGUAAAAAUAAAAAUUCCAUUUUUUCCGUAUUUUACUUAUAAAUGGACUUAGUUUUUUUUCUCUGGGGAAACAUUACACUCACUCUGUGGUUAAAGUUUUUAGAAAUUUUAAUACUUCUUAAACUAUCCUGGGUUUGUACCAAACUUGGACAGAAGCUUGUUUAUGAUCAUAAGAUAGUAUCCAGAACUAAAUUUUGUAAAAAAAUAAAUCCAUUUUUUCCGUAUUUUACUUUUAAAUGGACUUAGUUUUUCUGCUGGGAAACAUUACAUUCACUCUGUGGUUAAAGUUUUUAGAAUUUUAAUAACUUUCUUAAACUAUCCUGGGUUUGUACCAAACUUGGACAGAAGCUUGUUUAUGAUCAUAAGACAGUAUCCAGAAGUAAAUUUUGUAAAAAGAUAAAUCGAUUUUUCCCGUAUUUUACUUUUAAAUGGACUUAGAUUUUCUUCCAGUUAACAUUACAUACAGUCUGCAGUUAAAGUUUUUAAAACAUUUUUUAGAUUCAUAAACUAUCCUGGAUUUUUACUAAACUUAUUCAAAAGUUUCUUACAAUCAAAAGAUAGUAUCAAAAGGAAUAUUUUUAUUGAGUUUUUUCCUCAUUUUUGUUGAGCCUGCGUUUUACAGCAAAAGUAGGCGAGACACCGGGUUCCGCGGAACCCUUACAAAUUUUUGGUUAUUAUCUUGAAUAAUAUUAUAGAUAGAGAUAAACUGUAAACAGCAAUAAUGUUCAGCAAAGUAAGAUUUACAAAUAAGUGAACAUGAUCAAAAUGGUCAAUUCACCCCUUUAGGAGUUAUUGCCCUUUAUAGUCAAUUUUUAACCAUUUUUCGUAAAUCUUAGUAAUCUUUUAGAAAAAUCUUCUCCUCUGAAACAACUGGACCAAAUUUAACCAAACUUGGACACAACCAUCAUUGGGGUAUCUAGUUUAAAAAAUGUGUCCGGUAACUUGGACAACCAACUAAGAUGGCCGCCAUGGCUAAAAAUAGAACAUAGGGUUAAAAUGCAGUUUUUGGCCUAUAACUCAAAAACCAAACCAUUUAGAGCAAAUCUGACAGGAAGUGAAAUUGUCGAUCAGGUGAAGAUCUAUCUGCCCUGGAAUUUUCAGAUGAAUCAGAUAACCGGUUGUUAGGCUGCUGCCCCUGAAUUGGUAAUUUUAAGGAAAUUUUUCUGUAUUUUUUUUAUUAUCUUGAAUAUUAUUGUAGAUAGAGAUAAACUGUAAACAGCAAUAAUGUACAGCAAAGUAAGACCUAAAAAUAAGUCAACAUGACCAAAAUGGUCAAUGAACCCCCUAAGGAGUUAUUGACCUUCAUAGUCAAUUUUUAACAAUUUUCAUAAAAUUUGUAUAUUUUCACUAACAUUUUUCACUGAAACUACUGGGCCAAGUUCAUUAUAGAUAGAGAUAAUUGUAAGCAGCAAGAAUGUUCAGUAAAGUAAGAUCUACAAUCACAUCACCAUCACCAAAACACAAUUUUGUCAUGAAUCCAUCUGUGUCCUUUGUUUAAUAUUCACAUAGACCAAGGUGAGCGACACAGGCUCUUUAGAGCCUCUAGUUAUAUAGA
rnacentral:lncRNA from 1 species